UUAGCAAACUCUUCCUAACCCAUUCGUUGCAACCAAUUGUAUCGCCUCUUCCACUUUCCACUUUACCAUCAUCGUUGCCGAUUGAUUUCUGCAUAUCAUCAUGUACAGUUAUCACGAUCUCAUUCAAUUAUAUUCUUUACUCUUAUUUACAUGACAGAUUUUAUCUUUUCACCUCCCUUUGUUUAUCCUCCUAUAUAAAUUCAUUCAUUAAAGCUUUCGUCUAACCAAAAUCUACAACAUCUUUAAUAUCAACCGAUGGCCAUGAAAUUGGUUCAUACCCCCGGUAAUUAGCCGUAUAAGCUAAAGCGUUUAUUGAGAGUAACCUUUCUCCUAUCUUUCAACUUCUCCGCUCCAAUAACAGCAUCAUGAUUUCUCUCUCCCUUUCUCUCAUGAUGACUGGAGAUCCAUUCGAGGGUUUCCGACAUCCAAGUCACCUCUGAUUUAUGUGUAUCAAGGCAUGCGCUAAUCAUAACGGCAAGAUCUCUGUGAAGUGGAACCUCUUGGUGCAUUUUACAUUGCAGUGCCUCAUGUACAUGUAGAAUUUAAUGAGUUUGGUGGGAGCUCAGUGUUAGCUGCAACUUUUGAUUGUGACGAAGAACUCUAGGAAAAUUAUAUUAAAUCACUUCAGGAGACUAUGCUGCAGGUUAACACAUGAAUUCAGGUUUGUUAUGCUGUGGUGAGGUUACAAAGGGAACCUCUAGGAGUAUUUAUUCUGAGGAAGAUUCAUGCCCCUAUGAAAGGGGCGUAUUACCCUGUUGUAGAGAAGGCUUCGGAGAUGAUAAAGCAGAAGCGUUCAUCCCUUAGCAAGGUCGUUCUUGCAUGCAACAGCAUAGUUAUAAGAUAUAGCAUAUACCAUUAUGACCCCAUUGCUUGGCUUCCACAGUUACAGCACCAAGGGCAUGAUGCUUAUCAUCAGUUUUGUCUCCAACCACCAGGUGCACCAGAUUUUGUGGGAAACACGGUUUGUUACAAAAAGUCUGUUUAUACAUUUUAUUUGAUUUCAGUAGUUCACAUGUAUUAGGGCGAAACAGGCCUCACAUUAACAUGUCUAUGUUACAUGAUCUUUGUGGAACAGCCUGAGAGACUUUUCCAAAAGAAUUAGUAAGGUGUCUGCAGUGAAGCUUUGGCUACUACUAGGUCUAAAUAACAGGAUCAUUCUAAGGGUUCACAAUUAUUUUUAACCCCUUUUAAUAUUUUAACUUACAAAGCAAUAUGUAUUCAAUUCUUAUGAUCAGAUGUUUUAGCUUAUGAGUUCUGUCA